AACGAACGCUGGCGGCGUGCCUAACACAUGCAAGUCGAGCGCGAAUAGGGGCAACCCUUAGUAGAGCGGCGCACGGGUGCGUAACACGUGGAUAAUCUGCCUGGAUGCCUGGGAUAACCAGUCGAAAGAUUGGCUAAUACCGGAUAAGCCCACGGUCUCUUCGGAGGCUGAGGGAAAAGAUGGCCUCUGUAUACAAGCUAUCACAACCAGAUGAGUCCGCGGCCCAUCAGCUAGUUGGCGGGGUAAUGGCCCACCAAGGCGACGACGGGUAGCUAGUCUGAGAGGACGAUCAGCCACACUGGAACUGAGACACGGUCCAGACUCCUACGGGAGGCAGCAGUGGGGAAUUUUGCGCAAUGGGCGAAAGCCUGACGCAGCAACGCCGCGUGUGUGAUGAAGGUCUUUGGAUUGUAAAGCACUUUCGACCGGGACGAAAACCCGAAGGCUAACAUCCUUCGGCUUGACGGUACCGGGAGAAGAAGCACCGGCUAACUCUGUGCCAGCCGCCGCGGUAAAAC
rnacentral:rRNA from 1 species